CCCGGUCCCUGGCGCUGACAUGAUUCUUAGUCAGGGGGAAAAGCAGGGCGGUCUCUGUGAGUGUGCCUUGUGUGUAUGUGUGUGAGUGUGAGUGUGUGUUGCAAGGGUUUUGUUGGUAAAGAGAAAAGAUUGGAAGCCCAGCGCAAGCAAGAUCCAUCGAAAGGAAGGGAGGAUCAGCUGCAAAAAAAGGGAAAGAAAGGGCUGAGCUGGAGGUGGGGCUGGGGGGAGGGAAGGAAGGAAGGAAGGAAGGAAGAAGAGAAGAAAGGAAGAAGAGAAGAAAGGGAUCUUUCCGAAUAUAGAUACAUAUACAGGAUCCGAAGCAAUGACUCCAUAAGGAAGAAAGCAAGCCUGGACACAUUGGGAACCCUCGACCCCACCGUCGAUCAAUCCACUUAUUGAUUAUUGCCUCGAUCGAUUGGACGAAUUGGGAUGACGGAUCCGUGGGAUCAUCGAGGAACUCUGGGCAAAGUAUCUUUUUAAAUAUUUUUAAAUAUACCUAUAGAUAUAUAGACUCUACGCAAAUAUAUAUAAAUAUCUCUAUAUAUAUAAAACGACAUCUAUAUUGUGCUAUUUUUUUUUUUGCACCGAAACAGGGAAAUGAGACAUUUUUUAAAAUUUUAGUCGUAAUAAUCAACGGAUUUGGAGCGGAUUUGGAAGACGAAGAUGCUGCUCCAUUGACGCCUCUCUGCUUUUGAUCUCUUUGUCUUCUUCCAAGCCACGACCAGUCAAGUCCAGCUUGGGAUUCGUCUGUUGUGUUCUCUCUCUUGCACCCCUUCUUUGUCUUUGUCUUUUUCUCCCGUUCUUUUCUUGUUCUAUUUUUGGUGGGGUGUCGGAAAAGGGAUUCGGCCAUUCUGAAUCCGAGGUUCGCCCCAGUUUCUCCCUCCGCUUUGGACCAAUGAAGGAACCGGACGCUAUCAAACUUUUCAUCGGACAGAUCCCCCGGAAUUUGGAAGAGAAGGACCUCAAGCCCAUCUUCGAGCAGUUUGGCAAGAUCUACGAGCUGACCGUCAUUAAGGACAAAUACACGGGAAUGCAUAAAGGAUGCGCCUUCUUGACCUACUGCGCCCGGGAGUCGGCCCUCAAGGCCCAAAGCGCGCUCCAUGAGCAGAAGACGCUGCCAGGGAUGAACAGGCCGAUCCAGGUGAAACCGGCGGACAGCGAAAGCAGAGGAGGUAACGACGCAACCGGAGGAGUUUGGGGAGGGUCUCUAAAAGACCGGAAGCUCUUUGUCGGGAUGCUGGGGAAGCAGCAGACGGACGAGGAUGUCCGGAAAAUGUUUGAGCCCUUCGGGAACAUCGACGAAUGCACUGUCCUCCGCGGGCCUGAUGGCACCAGCAAAGGCUGCGCGUUUGUGAAGUUCCAGACCCACGCAGAAGCGCAGGCGGCCAUUAACACGUUGCACGGCAGCCGCACUUUGCCCGGCGCCUCCUCCAGCCUCGUGGUCAAGUUUGCGGACACCGAGAAGGAGCGAGGCCUCCGGCGCAUGCAGCAAGUGGCCAACCAGCUGGGCAUGUUCAGCCCCAUUGCGCUGCAGUUUGGGGCUUACAGUGCCUACACCCAAGCACUAAUGCAGCAACAGGCGGCCCUGGUUGCCGCGCACUCGGCCUACCUCAACCCCAUGGCGACCAUGGCCGCGGUCCAGAUGCAGCAGAUGGCCACCAUCAGCCCCAACGGCCUCAUCGCCACCCCCAUCACCCCCAUCACGCCCUCCUCAGGUACCAGCACGCCGCCUGCCAUAGCCGCCACGCCGGUCUCUGCCAUCCCGGCCACCCUCAGCGUCAACGGCUACAGCCCUGUCCCAACCCAGAGCACGGGGCAGCCCACCUCGGAGGCCAUUUACACCAAUGGCGUCCACCCAUACCCAGCACAGAGCCCAGCGGCCCCCGUGGACCCUUUGCAGCAGGCCUACGCCGGGAUGCAACACUAUACAGCCGCCUACCCCGCUGCCUACGGACUGGUCAGCCCCGCCUUCCCGCAACAGCCAGCCACCAUCAUCGCCCAGCAGCCGCCUCCUCAGCAGCAGCAGCAACGGGAAGGAGCUCAGAGCUGUUGGUCUUCACCAGGUCCCGAAGGAUGCAACAUCUUCAUCUAUCACCUGCCGCAGGAGUUCACGGACUCUGAGAUCCUGCAGAUGUUCCUGCCGUUCGGGAACGUCAUCUCCGCCAAAGUCUUUGUGGACCGGGCCACCAAUCAGAGCAAAUGUUUCGGAUUCGUAAGUUUCGACAAUCCUGCCAGCGCGCAAGCGGCCAUCCAGGCCAUGAACGGCUUCCAGAUCGGGAUGAAGCGGCUCAAAGUGCAGCUCAAGCGGCCCAAAGACGCCAACCGGCCGUACUGAACUGCCGCUCCGCCAGGGGUCCAAUCAUAUCUUGAGACGACUCUGCCGCUAAGGCCCCCUUCGCUGUCGCGGGAGACGUAGCUCCGCCCCCCUUGUCUGGAGCUCAAUGGAGGAGCAAUGUUCCCCCGCCCCUUUGAUUCUCUUCCCUUUCCCGCUCCCCGUUUCCCCCUCUCCCUGCUUUCUUCUUCCUUCCAUAGGAAAGUGACUCACCCCCCGGAGCCAAGGGAGCUCGCCGCUUUCCUCACGGGCUCAGAGGUUUCUUGCCGCAAUGGUCUUCUUUGUGAGAGUCGGGAUUCAGAGUCGGAUGGGCUUCACCAUAACCUGCCACCGCCUCCCGUUGGAUCCCGGCACUUUCCAAAACAACCGAGGUGCACUACAUUGGGGCAACGAAGGAGCAACCUUUAUCAAUGAAAGCUCCAAUUGAGAUGCAAAGAUCCUGUUUGGCACCACCUCACUUCCUUUCUCAGCAGAAGACCUUGGAAGGAUGGGCCAAUCCGAAGAGAACCCCAGUUACCAUUGGGGUCCUCACUCUCAACUUCAUUGUUUCUUUGCACUACAUAACACGAACCGGGGAUGCGGGGUUGCAACAACACUACCAGUAUGACUCUGGGUACAAGCCGCUCUCGGGGUUUUGUGGCAAGUAAUUUCCCCUCAGCCGUCCUAAUCUCAAGGGGGGAAUUGUUAUCGACCAAGUUGUAUCCGCUGUUGUAGGGAAGGGAGUAUUUCAAAGAGAAAGAAUCACAACUGAGAUUGGAAAAUGGAAGCAAGUGUCAACAUAUUUUUUGCCAUUUCUCAUCUGCAGCAUCUACAGAAGGGUGACUGAAUAAUGCUGCUCCACAAUCUUGUUUUGCUGACGUUCCUCCUCUUCUCCCAGAUCUUUCAAAUGGUCCUUUCCCAAACGUUCUCUCAGAUCAUUAAAAUGAUUCUUUCCCAAACUUCACUUCUUCAAUCAUAAUAAUAAUAAACUUUAUUUAUACCCUGCCACCAUCUCCCCAAAGGGGACUUGGGAGAGGCUUACAUGAGGCCAACCCUUGUACCCAGAAAGCUACCUUUAGCUGAGUUGUCCCAUAAGUCCACCCACAUCCUCAGGACUUCGGGUUGUGAGUCUCUCCCAGCUUCACCUCAAAACAUCUAGGAUGAAACCUGGGUACAGGACACAGGAUAAAUCCCACCUGUAACAAAACCCAAUCAUAUUUCUCUGAGCCCACCCUCAAUCCCGUAAAACCCUAGGAUAGGGUGCCAUAAGUCAGAAAUGACUUGAAGGCCCACAACAAGACAUGUCCCACCAACCCCAAAAGGACAACCUCCCAGUGAGCUUUUCUUUGCCCUCUUCUUUGGUGGGCAAAGAACCACCUUAGGGCAGAAAGUAGAUUUCUCAUAUCAAAUAUGGAUAUAUGAAGUCUCCUGUUCAAGAUUGAGGUGUUCGCUUCUUGUGGACAUAGGAAGACCUCAAAAGACUGUCAGGUAGACCUUCUCAAACAUUCCCUUGGCCCAGUUUGGGACUAUAGCUAGGGCUAUAAAGUAACAGAGACAGUGUUUCCUUUCCAUCCAUCAUAGCAAUUCCUUUGAGGAGUAGCCCACAAUAAUUCAGUCUACCCAUCCCAAGAUGGAGAGAAGAUCAGACAAGGCGGCCAUCUCAGGAUCUUGAUGUUAAGCUGCGAUAAAACCUGGGAUUUGCUCUUUUUCUGGUUUAGCCAACCUUCCAAUAUUCACAAACUCAUCUGAUGGCCAACAUAAAGUCCUCUGUGGCCAAGAGAACUGCAGAGCUCUCCUCUUGAACCUCCUCCUCACCGCUAUGCCAUUCCAAGGGGUCUACAGAUGGCACCCCGUCUUGGAUGUACGCAAUCCGAAGAUGACCGAAACACAACGAUUCCAACCCGUUCUGCUGUGGCUUGUGUUUCGGUUCGGAUCCUCGUCCAUUUUCUUCUCCCGUUGGGUGAGGAGGAAUGGUCACCUGAGAAGAUGUAUCUCCACCAACUGUCAUGCAAUGCUUCCGUUCUGACUUUCGUGUGCUUAAAUGGAGCUUAAAGGAAGUAAAAACCCAUCCGAAGGGAGCGACGCAAGGCUACUCACCAAAACAACCAGACAUUCGAAUACAGGGUGUCCUGCCUGAAAACCUUAAAGAGUCGGAAGGCGGUAUCGUUGAUCAACCAAAUACAUCCUUUCUAGGCAUUUUCUAGGUCCUCCGGCGCAACUCGGCUAAGAAUCUUUCCUUUUAAUAGGAUUUGCUUAUUCUCCACGAUUUUGUGUCUCCACAUCACGUCGGAGAACAUAACGGGGGCCGCAUUGUAAUUCCUGGGACACGCUCAGAACUUAGCGGAAGUCCUUGAAAAUCACUCUGAAACAGAGCGAAUUGUCCACUUCCUGUCUCUGAUUCCCAUACUUUGCUCCACAUAUACGGGCCUUUCCUUGCCUAUCCUUUCCUUUCCACACCUGCAAACAAACCCUCUUCAGGAACAUCUUGGUGUGUGUUAAGAUAAUCCUCCAAACUCUGACCAAUUGGCGGAGUCUAAGAAGCAUGGAGAACCCUAUGGUAGACCCUAUGGAGACUUCUCCCCUUACAGUCCCCCGGAUCCUUCCGGAAGACCCUUAAAAUAAGCCCAUUCCCAUGGAGAACCCUAUGGAGCCUUCUCCCCUUGCAGUCCCUCAGAUCCUUCUAGAAGACCCUUAAAAUAAGCCCAUUCCUAUGGAGAACCCCAUAGAGCCUUCUCCUCUUGCAGUCCCUCAGAUCCUUCCACAAGACCCAUAAAGAAAGCCCAUUCCUAUGGAGAACUCCAUGGAGAACCCUAUGGAGUCUUCUCCUCUUGCAGUCCCUCAGAUCCUUCCAGAAGGCCCUUAAAGAAAGCCCAUUCCUAUGGAGAACCCCAUGGAGAACCCUAUGGAGCCUUCUCCUCUUGCAGUCCCUCAGACCCUUAAAAUAAGCCCUUUCCUAGAAGAACCCUAUGAAGAACUCCAUGGAGGCUUCUCCUCUUAAAGUCCCUCAAAUCCUUCGGAAGACCCUUGAAAUAAGCCCAUUCCUAUGGAGAACCCUGUGGUAGACCCUAUGGAGCCUUCUCCUCUUAAAGUCCCUCAGAUUCUUCCAGAAGACCCUUAAAAUAAGCCCAAUCCUAGGAGAACCAUAUGGAGAACCCUAUGGAGCCUUCUCCUCAUGCAGUCCCUCAGAUCCUUCCAGAAGACCCUUAAAAUAAGCCCAUUCCUAGGAGAACCAUAUGGAGAACCCUAUGGAGCCUUCUCCCCUUGCAGUCCCUCAGAUCCUUCUAGAAGACCCUUAAAUAAUCCCAUUCCUAUGGAGAACCCCAUAGAGCCUUCUCCUCUUGCAGCCCCUCAGAUCCUUCCACAAGACCCUUAAAAUAAGCCCAUUCCUAUGGAGAACCCCAUGGAGAACCCUGUGGAGCCUUCUCCUCUUGCAGUCCCUCAGAUCCUUUGGAAGACCCUUAAAAUAAGCCCAUUCCUAGGAGAACCCUAUGGAGAACCCUAUGGAGACUUCUCCUCUUGCAGUCCCCCAAACCCUUCCAGAAGACGUUUAAGCCCAUUCCUAUGGAGAACCUUAUGGAGCCUUCUCCUCUUGAAGUCCCCCAGAUCCUCCUGCAAGACCCUUAAAGUAAGCCCAUUCCUAUGGAGAACUCUAUGGAGAACCCUAUGGAGACUUCUCCUCUUGCAAUCCCCCGGAUCCUUCUGCAAGACCCUUAAAACCGGAUCCGUUCCUUCAUUUACCUCGGUCCCCAUAAGGCAACAUCUCCCAACUUCCCGCCUCCGUCCCGUGAACUCCAAACCCGCAAAAAGCGCUCGGAAAUCAAGGGUUCUAUAACCGUAAAGAAAGAAAGACGGAAAGAAAUAUGUUUACAGUCUCUUUUGCUGAUUCAGUACUUGUAAAUAAUUCCAUUGCGAUUAGCUGCAAUUAAAUUUUAAACAGGGGGGGAAACGGGGUUGAAUCCAUUGCUGUUUUCUGAUUUUAGGGGGUUUUUACAAACUGUCUCUCUCUUUCUUUCAUCCUCUAUCCCUUCCUUCGACUCUCUCUCUUUUUUUAAUUUUCCCUUCUUAGGGUGGGAGGGGGGUUUACUACGCGGUCGAUUAAUUUAGAAGGACAAAAGAAAAAGGCAAAAAAAAAAGAGGAGGAGAAAAGAGAUGAACUUUUAGUGCUGGGGAUUUUAAAACAAAUGAAGAGUUGCAUUCUAUGUUUCAGACGAUAUCAAUGCUUAAGUUAUUGAUUAUUUAUUGCUGUUUACUUUUAAUAAUUUAAUUUUUUUUCUGUCUAAAUAAAAGAAUUGAAAAGCCA